AUUGAACGCUGGCGGCAUGCCUUACACAUGCAAGUCGAACGGCAGCGCGGGAGCAAUCCUGGCGGCGAGUGGCGAACGGGUGAGUAAUACAUCGGAACGUGCCCAAUCGUGGGGAAUAACGCAGCGAAAGCUGUGCUAAUACCGCAUACGAUCUACGGAUGAAAGCAGGGGAUCGCAAGACCUUGCGCGUAUGGAGCGGCCGAUGGCAGAUUAGGUAGUUGGUGAGGUAAAGGCUCACCAAGCCUUCGAUCUGUAGCUGGUCUGAGAGGACGACCAGCCACACUGGGACUGAGACACGGCCCAGACUCCUACGGGAGGCAGCAGUGGGGAAUUUUGGACAAUGGGCGAAAGCCUGAUCCAGCAAUGCCGCGUGCAGGAUGAAGGCCUUCGGGUUGUAAACUGCUUUUGUACGGAACGAAACGGUCUUUUCUAAUAAAGAAGGCUAAUGACGGUACCGUAAGAAUAAGCACCGGCUAACUACGUG
rnacentral:rRNA from 1 species